GGGGGUAUAGCUCAGUGGUACAGCACAUGCUUAGCAUGCAUGAGGUCCUGGUUCAAUCCCCAGUACCUCCA
rnacentral:tRNA from 1 species